UAUGGCCAUAUCAUGUUAAAACACCAGUUCCUGUAUGAUCAUUGAAGUUAAGCAACAUCGAGUCUGGUCAGUACCUUGAUGGGUGACCACUUAGGAAUAAUAGGUGCUGUAGG
rnacentral:rRNA from 1 species